AUUGAACGCUAGCGGCAGGCCUAACACAUGCAAGUCGGGCGAGCGGAGGGCGGGUGAGUAAGGAAUGGGGCUCUGCCUGAUGGCGGGGUAUAACUACUGGAAACGGUAGCUACUACCGCAUACCACCAGAUGAACCCAUAUGGGAUUAGCUAGUCGGUGAGGUAACGGCUUACCUAGGCGAGGAUCCCUAGCUGGGCUGAGAGGAUGAUCAGCCACACGGGGACUGAGACACGGCCCAGACUCCUACGGGAGGCAGCAGGGGGGAAUUGUGGACAAUGGGGGCAAUCCUGAUGCAGCCAUGCCGCGUGUAUGAUGAAGGCCUUCGGGUUGUAAAGUACUUUCAGUCGGGAGGCGUUACCGACAGAAGAAGCACCGGCUAACUCCGUGCCAGCAGCCGCGGUAAUAC
rnacentral:rRNA from 1 species